rnacentral:rRNA from 1 species
UACAGAGGUCUCAAGCGUUGUUUCGGAUUCAUUGGGCGUAAAGGGUGCGUAGGCGGCGCGGUAAGUCGGGGUGUGAAAUCUUGGAGCUUAACUCCGAAAACUGCAUUCGAUACUGCCGUGCUUUGAGGACUGGAGAGGAGAGUGGAAUUCCUGGUGUAGCGGUGAAAAUGCGCAGAUAUCAGGAAGAACACCCCGUGGCGAAAGGCGGCUCUCUGGGGACGGUACUGACGCUGAGACGCGAAAAGCGUGGGGGAGCGAACAGG